UUAAUGGAGAGUUUGAUCCUGGCUCAGGACGAACGCUGGCGGCGUGCCUAAUACAUGCAAGUCGAGCGAGGGUUUUCGGACCCUAGCGGCGGACGGGUGAGUAACACGUAGGCAACCUGCCUGUAAGACUGGGAUAACAUAGGGAAACUUAUGCUAAUACCGGAUAGAGUUUUGCUUCGCAUGAAGCGAAACGGAAAGAUGGCGCAAGCUAUCACUUGCAGAUGGGCCUGCGGCGCAUUAGCUAGUUGGUGAGGUAAAGGCUCACCAAGGCGACGAUGCGUAGCCGACCUGAGAGGGUGACCGGCCACACUGGGACUGAGACACGGCCCAGACUCCUACGGGAGGCAGCAGUAGGGAAUUUUCCACAAUGGACGAAAGUCUGAUGGAGCAACGCCGCGUGAACGAUGAAGGCUUUCGGGUCGUAAAGUUCUGUUGUUAGGGAAGAAACAGUGCCAUUUAAAUAAGAUGGCGCCUUGACGGUACCUAACGAGAAAGCCACGGCUAACUACGUGCCAGCAGCCGCGGUAAUACGUAGGUGGCAAGCGUUGUCCGGAAUUAUUGGGCGUAAAGCGCGCGCAGGUGGCUA
rnacentral:rRNA from 1 species